GAAUGAAGGAAUCAUUGCUGUGUGCACGAAAAUUAAAUUUUAGGUCCGCAUGUCUGCCCUCUAUGAUCUUUGAUUUGAUUUUAGGGCCUGGUAACGACCUACAUUU
rfam:Medicago truncatula strain A17 chromosome 3, whole genome shotgun sequence.